UCCGAGAUCGUCUAACGGCAGGACAGAGGACUCUGAAUCCUCUAAUCAUGGUUCGAAUCCAUGUCUCGGAACCA
rnacentral:tRNA from 1 species